UACGGGGGGGGCAAGCGUUUGUUCGGAAUUACUGGGCGUAAAGGGCUCGUAGGUGGCCAACUAAGUCAGACGUGAAAUCCCUCGGCUUAACCGGGGAACUGCGUCUGAUACUGGAUGGCUUGAGUUCGGGAGAGGGAUGCGGAAUUCCAGGUGUAGCGGUGAAAUGCGUAGAGUAUCUGGAGGAACACCGGUGGCGAAGGCGGCAUCCUGGACCGACACUGACACUGAGGAGCGAAAGCCAGGGGAGCAAACGGG
rnacentral:rRNA from 1 species